GUUCUGGCUAAUCUAAAAUUAUCCCUUUUAUUACAAGAGAAGACAUUGCAACAUGUGCUGGCAAAUUUGCCUCGCAUUGCAAGUCAGCACAGACAGGAAGGCUGAGCCUCUCGGCUCAUGGUGGAAGUCAAGCCCGAGCAUGCCCAGCAGCUGGGGAGCCCACGUGAUGACAACAGCAUCCAGCUCCAUCUGGUGAUGUUCUCCCAGCCCCCCGGGCACUUUUCCAUCUAGUCUUGCAAGCAGCUGGAUCAAUUUACUCUAGCCUACGGUGCGCUGCACAGGCACAGACUGAAAUUAUUACUCAUGGAAAUCCCCUCUGUCUCAGUGCUUUGAACAAGGAAUCAGGUAGCUUUCAAGCUCCUGACAAUUAAUAGCCUUUGGUCGAGGGAGAACAGUGCAAACACGCUGGAAGCAACGGGUUUCAAAACAGCUUGCUUAGUUUCUAGUAAAUUAAAGGGAGUGGGCAGUUGAGGUACAUGGUAAUAUUAUCCAGCACAGUGUGGUCUUCACUGACGUCAGCAGGAGAUUUUUUUUCCCUCUCUUUCUCUCUCUCUGCCUGUCUCCCAGAAAGAGACACAUGGAGGUUAACGCUGUGACAGAAGCAUGGCUCAUACCACCCGGAGAACCUCCAGUUUUCCAUCAACAAUGCCAGAGCGCAGAUGCUACUAUGUUGCAAAUGAGCAGCACCAAAUUACAUGCAAGUCAUUUCAGAGGAGGAAAAAAGCUGUUGGAAACAGAAAUCAUGAGGACUUACAAGUUGCCUGCUGAGGUCCCUUUGACAACAGUGUCUUUCAGGAUUCAUUUGCACCUUUCAUCAGGACAUUUUGGAGAAAAAAAUGGAAGGAAUUAAUAGCUAUCUGUAAUUACGCCUCACAUUGGCAGUGCCUGGGGGUUAAUGGAGCUCACUCAUAUCUCCAAGUUGCCAUUCCUGAGUUUUAGCCACCAACCUAUGCUCCCUUCUUUCUGCAAAUGCUCUGCUGAAAGCAUGAUCUGUGAUGCAACAGCCUCCAGUGCAGCCCAGUCCCCAUGUGCAGUUCACACAGCACAAUGAAAAAGCAAUUUAAAAGUCGUCAGUCACCUGGUACUUCUCUCAGGAGGUAAUCAGCAACAUCUAGCUGCUUUGCCCUUGGAUCCAGCAACAGGCAACAACAUUUUCUUUUUCCAAGCCACCUAAACCAUGCUGCAUCCUGAACACUGAUGGAGGUUUUCGCCACUUCCUCUGACUACACCAGUAAGCUGUGGCCUUCU